rnacentral:misc_RNA from 1 species
UUAUGUUUGUGAAUUGACUCAAUUGCGAGAACACUUUGAGCAAUGUAAAACUUCGCCACAUUUUCAGUUAAUGUGUCCUCCCGCAUCAGCAGAGUCAUCAUAUCACCACCCGGCAGAUAUUCCAUAAUCAGAUACAAAUACUCGGCAUCCUGAAAUGAGUAAUAGAGUUUGACAAUGCAGUGGCUUGCAACUUCAGCCAGCAAGUUCCUUUCAGCUCUAACAUGUUCCACCUGUCCUUUCAUUAGCAUUUCUGAUUUCUUUAACUUUUUCAUGGCAUAAAUAUUGCCAGAUUUCUUCUCCCGGCACAAGCGAACCUCACCAAAGGCUCCUCUACCAAUGAUGGUCAAAAGCUCAAAAUCAUCAACACAAAUCUUAUGCCUUUUAAGUCGUAUAAAUUCUGUUUCUUUUCUUUCCAAGUCUUUUAUCAGAUUGAUCUGUUCCUCCUUGGGCACAUCAGAAGAAGCUAGUUUCCUUUCUAACACCCACCGUCUCUCUUUUCGGUCUUGAAUAUUCUUCAUCUGAGCUCUGUAGUGAUUCUCUAUGAACUGCUUCGCUGCCGCGACUUUCUCCAUCGUCAAGCUCGAUCCCAAGACCUCCUCUUCUCCGUUCUCCUCCUCUUCUAUAUCCUCCAUUCUCUCUCUCUCUCUCUCUCUCUUUCUAGAAUCUACAGGUGUAAUUUCCUUUACGAAUUUCUCUUCCUCACUCAGAAUCUCUCAAGCUCAGUCUUGGUACUCUCUCUCUCUCUCUCUCUCUAAAAGAAACACACUCUCUUAAG